GGAGAUUGCGGGCGUCAUGGUUCUCCGGUCGUCGUCAGGAUGCAUCGGAGCUAAGAGGGAAGCCGGUGCGCGCAAAUGCAAUUCCGGAGCUGCCCCCGCAACUGUAAACGGCGAGCGGAUGUCCAUUGAUGUCACUGAGGCGAAAGCCUCGGGAAGACGGACAAACGCGACGACCCGCAAGCCAGGAGACCUGCCACGACAAAAUAACGUCC
rnacentral:ncRNA from 2 species